rnacentral:rRNA from 1 species
UACGGGGGGGGCAAGCGUUGUUCGGAAUUACUGGGCGUAAAGGGCUCGUAGGUGGCCAACUAAGUCAGACGUGAAAUCCCUGGGCUCAACCCAGGAACUGCGUCCAAGACUGGGAGGCUUGAAUCCGGGAGAGGGAUGCGGAAUUCCAGGUGUAGCGGUGAAAUGCGUAGAUAUCUGGAGGAACACCGGUGGCGAAGGCGGCAUCCUGGACCGGUAUUGACACUGAGGCGCGAAAGCCAGGGGAGCAAACGGG